UGCGUGCGGUUCCGCGAUACAAAUGCAUAUUUGACAGCUCGCUGCAAACAAACGAAGAAGAGGAGGGGAAUAACAAGAAGCGGUGUCGUUACCCUCGCUGCCCGCGUAAUGCUCAGGUCCUUCAUCACUUCUUCAAAGGCCGCUGUCUCCUCUGCCUGCUUCUGGUUAUGCAAAGCGAUUUUCUCGCUGAAUUUCCGCGGAUUGUUCGAAGUCGCCAUGUUUCGCUCUUCUGCUCCGUUUUCCUUCAAUGGUCAGUGUCAAGAGGCACGCAGUGAGGACACACAACUUCCGGUUAAGCCAGUUGCUAUAAGAAAUACAAAACAAAAAAACACCGCAGACUUUUAUUCUGAAGCCAAACGUGUAGUUUCCGGUAUCGGUCUUCUCUGCCCGACUCUGCCCGACUUGACGCAGCUGCUUUGGCUUUGCGUGGUCACGUCGCAGCGCGGGGGUGUAGUGGGGGCGCCCCGCACAUCUGGACUGCGGAGUAACUGCACAUUUAACUUUUUUAAGAAAACACGAGUUUGAGCUUUACUCUGUGGUAAAACAAGAUACUCAACAAAUCACUGCAGAAUAUAAUCAUUAUUGUUGUAAUGAUAAUGAUAAUAAUUAUUAAUAAUUAUUAUUAUUAUUAUUAUUAUUAUUAUUAUUAUUAUUAUUAUUAUUAUUAUCAUUGUUCAUAUUGUUAGUAGUACUUUUUUCAACUUGUAUUCUUAUUAUGUGAACUAACUGUAUUCUUUCUCUUUCUGUUACUGUUAUGACACGUGAGUUUCCCUAUGGUGAUGAAUAAAGAUCCAUCUUUUUUUAUCAUUUCUUUUACCUAUUGUGACAAGCGUGUACCCAUUUUGACAUCAGUUGAUUCUUUUAGCCUCUCUUUGGCAACAUUUGGAUGUCUUUAAGUGUAAAACUGAAUUCAGUUUGUUUUCUUUCUUGUGGACAGUAAUUAACUUCCUUGUCUGGGUCGGCCUAAAUGUUUGUGACAUUAAUUCUCAGGCCUGAACGUGGCAAUGUCUGCCUCCUCUGGAGUUGUAUGCACAUCCCCGCCGACUGAAGAUAAAAACUGUCACAACAGUGUCUCCUCCUGCUUUCCAGAUGAAAAGAUUCAAAAGGCACUGAGGGCACAGUGGAGCUGUUUUACCAGCCAUUGAGGAGAGUGUAAUUUGGUUGUAAGGUAACCAUGGUAACAUAGAGAAAGGAGCGACUCCAGGGCAGGUGGAGAGAGUCUGUGCACAGGAUUGAUCUUUUAAUGCUGAAAAAAGCAGCUGUCCUUUAUCAAAUGUUGCUAAAGUUUUCUUAUUGCAAACACACUGCGUAAAGUGGAACAUCUCUGUGGCUUGAGUGAGUGUGCAGCAGAAAAGGGAACUCUGACUUCACUUUCUCAGUUGAACCUGAAAGUCUGAAAAUGUCUCUUUGUCUUCUCUAUGCACACAUUUUUUAACCAGUAUGGUUUUCGUAUAUUUUAUAUGCGGUGUACAAAAACCAAUAUGGCAUGGUAGAAAUGCAUGUCAACACAAAAUUCCCAGUGUAAAAAGUGAACUGUUGACGCUUUUGUCAUGUGGAUUUGUCUUUACUAUGAGCCCAUAUUGUUUCCAUUGAGGAUGAGGAAAAACACAUAUUCAUUUUUACAUAUUAAUCAUCAAAAUAUUUGAAUAUUAUUAAUACCUACAUAAAUAUAGAAACCCCGGGCACUCUUUUUUCUAAGUAAGAAUUCAGUGAGGAACUAAAGUGAGAAACUCUAAAUAUACAAUACUUGCAUUUGUUAAGUUACACUUUAAAGUGGACUAAGAAACCGCUUCAACAAGUUUGACACUGUCUGUUACUCCACCUCACACCCUUACAUGUGUGACUUGUGUUAACAUGCAAUGAGAAAUCAUUAGAUGGUGUUGGUUCAAAUCAACGAUUCUGCUUUUAAUUCCCUUUUUUUGCUUUACCUUACAUUAUGAACGUACACGUGUGUGUGUGUGUGUGUGUGUGUGUGUGUGUGUGUGUGUGUGUGUGUGUGUGUGUGUGUGUGUGUGUGUGUGUGUGUGUGUGUGUGUGUGUGUGUCUUAUAGCAUUAAUUUAUGUAGUUUCAUUUACAUGUAGAUAAGAGAUAACACCACUUAAACUUGGGAUUAAUUUAGGUUUGUUUUUAUCUUUGUGUUUAUCAUUUAUUGGGAUAAUAAACAGUAAACAUAAACUCUAAUUCAAGGCCUUUGUUCAAGAACCUUUAAUGCUUAAAAUCAUUUGUGCUGUUUUAAACUAUUACAUUUCCUAACCAAGAGCAUACUUUUGAUUUUUAGUCAAAUGAGAUGUGUGUGCCUUUUAUUUGUACCAUCUAAUUUUAACAGAUAGUCUAUUUAACAGUGAAGUUCUAAUCGUGCGGCUCUUAUCUGCACUAACUGAAGCUUUGCCAGACCUUCUGGCACUUGACCGUGUGAGUAAUCAAUAAUCAAGAUGAGACAAUAUUAUGGCUUCUAUCACAGCAAGAUGCAACUUUCACCAAGACAUGGGGACCAGUUUCUUGCAAGAGGUAUACUUCUUUCCAUUUUUUGCUCAUAUUUUGUACAUAUGACUGCCCCAGGACAGUUGCUCAUCAAGCAUGAGGUUGCACUGAAAGACACCAUUUAUUGGUAGUAGUUGCAUAUAUCAUUCAUAUAUUUAUAGAGAAAAUCAGUGGUCCUAAUCAUCUUUCCUGGGGGACACCAUAUGUUACUAUCCUAAAUUAAAAAACACUGCAAAAUACCAAUUUAGCCAACAUUUCUUCUGUUCUCAAUACCUUAUUUGAAAAUGAACAUAUUCAAAUUAAGCUAAACUAUAAACUAUUUUUGUGUGUUUAGAUCGGAAUUUUGUCGAUUGUGUCACAAAGUUCAAUUCAACUGUAAUUCAGCUCCUGUCAGCAGCUUUCUAUUUUCAGAAAUAUCUUAUACAGGAAAUCUACUGUUUUCAGUGGUUCAGUUAGCAAAAAAAGGGAACUUCAACAUUGUUGAGGUGUUAACGACAACCUACUUGACUUCACUUGGACCUUGCCCGAAGUCGUUGGAGUCUUCAAUGAUCAUGUCGACCAAUGCAACUGGUAUUCCCCCAGACCAAUCUUCGGCCUCAACCAAUGCAGGUCUGGCUGUCGGGCUAACUCUCUUCUUUCUACUGGUGGUGAUUGUAGCUGGUGUAAUCGUUUACAAACGCAAUAAAGUGAGAGAUAUCUUGCAGCUCGUGAGAAACAGAAGACAGAAAAAGGAGGAAUUUGCAAACACAGCACAGGAUGAUCCCGAUCACUACACCAGCAUGAUUAAGCAGUCAACAGAACAGACCUCCUCUAUUUAUGAAAACCUGACCACUCAAGCUACUAGAGACAACAUGCCUGCAGCAAAACAGAGCAAGUUUCCCAGUGAACCUGAAGAGGAUGUGUACUUGCGGUGUGAUUCACCAGAUGAUGCAAUAUACAGCAAUGAUCCAACGUGUAACCUCGCCAUCCUGCCAGACUGCCAAGACGAAGACGUGUAUAUCAUGCCAGAUUCAUUAUAGAAUAAAUCUCCAUUCAUUGCUUGUGUUAUAAAUGCACAUUGUCAAAAGGCAAAUGUACUGCUGCUUUUUGAUACAGCAAAAACAAAUGAUGAGUGUACUCUUUGGAUAUCAUGCAGUAUAUAUUAUGGUUAUAAUCUAUUGUAUAGCUUGUAAAGUAAGGAAUGGAAUCUUAUAUUUUUCUGUUACUUCAGAUAUUUGAUUGCUACUGUUUUUGGCACAGUUCAUUUAGGAUCACUCUGUACUGAAAUAACACAUAUUGACUUAAGUUAACCCAAUAUCCUGAUAACAUUUGAUAGUUUUAUGGCUUUCUCCUGAUAGGCCUGGAAUUGCUGAUUAAUCACUUUCCAGUUUGACCUUAAGAGAGAAGAAGUGUCGGCACUUUCUUCACACUUGUGUGGUUAAGUUAUGAAUGUAUUCUGCUGUCCUUUUUUGUAUCAGCGGUUUAGCAGUUCACGAAUACAAAUUACUUUUUCAUUUAAUUUUUUGUAUAAGAUUUAAUAAGUGAGAAAUGUUAUUGUAAUGCUCCACAUUUAUGCAUGUGCCUCAGUAGAUGGAUGUGUGAAAUGAAAUCGAAUUGUAUUCAUGAUGAUUUAUAGAAUAGCUAUAUCUGCUUUUGUGGUAUACAAACUUUUGCCAUUUACAAUAUUAAUUAGCCUUAACUUGUUCAGAGGAGGCCAUUGUUUGCAACAGAUGUUUCACUGCUUCGGAAUUGAUUAAUUAAUAUUUUUAGUAUUUUUAAAUAUAUUUGACUCAAUUAAAAACAAUGUUUCUUA